rnacentral:rRNA from 1 species
GACGAACGCUGGCGGCGUGCCUAAUACAUGCAAGUCGAGCGGACCAAAGGGAGCUUGCUCCUGGAGGUUAGCGGCGAACGGGUGAGUAACACGUGGGCAACCUGCCUGUAAGACUGGGAUAACAUCGAGAAAUCGGUGCUAAUACCGGAUAAUAAAAAGAACUGCAUGGUUCUUUUUGAAAGAUGGUUUCGGCUAUCACUUACAGAUGGGCCCGCGGCGCAUUAGCUAGUUGGUGGGGUAACGGCUCACCAAGGCGACGAUGCGUAGCCGACCUGAGAGGGUGAUCGGCCACACUGGGACUGAGACACGGCCCAGACUCCUACGGGAGGCAGCAGUAGGGAAUCUUCCGCAAUGGACGAAAGUCUGACGGAGCAACGCCGCGUGAGUGAUGAAGGUUUUCGGAUCGUAAAACUCUGUUGUUAGGGAAGAACAAGUGCCGUUCGAAAGGGCGGCACCUUGACGGUACCUAACGAGAAAGCCACGGCUAACUACGUGCCAGCAGCCGCGGUAAAGU